ACAUUGGUGAUUCAGUGGUAGAAUUCUUGCCCUCCAUACAAGAGACCCAGGUUCCAUUCCCAGCCACUGCC
rnacentral:tRNA from 1 species